UACGGAGGGUGCAAGCGUUGUUCGGAAUUAUUGGGCGUAAAGCGCGUGUAGGCGGCUAUUUAAGUCUGAUGUGAAAGCCCGGGGCUCAACCUCGGAAGUGCAUUGGAACCUGGAUAGCUUGAGUACGGGAGAGGGUAGUGGAAUUUCGAGUGUAGGGGUGAAAUCCGUAGAUAUGUGGAGGAACACCGAUGGCGAAGGCAGCCCUGGACCGAUACUGACGCUGAGACGCGAAAGCGUGGGGAGCAAACAG
rnacentral:rRNA from 2 species